CCUUUUUUUAUGAAUAAAGCCCCAUAAAUCCAAAACUUAAAAUCUGAAAUUUAUAAAAAUUGAAAGGGAGCUUACAUCAAUAGAUAUAAACAAUUCACCAAAGUUUCAUGGACAUUGGUGAAAGCCUUUUUGAGUUAUUGUCCGAAGUGUUGAAAAUCCCCCUUUUUUUAUGAAUAAAGCCCCAUAAAUCCAAAACUUAAAAUCUGAAAUUUAUAAAAAUUGAAAGGGAGCUUACAUCAAUAGAUAUAAACAAUUCACCAAAGUUUCAUGGACAUUGGUGAAAGCCUUUUUGAGUUAUUGUCCGAAGUGUUGAAAAUCCCCCUUUUUUAUGAAUAAAGCCCCAUAAAUCCAAAACUUAAAAUCUGAAAUUUAUAAAAAAUUGAAAGGGAGCUUACAUCAAUAGAUAUAAACAAUUCACCAAAGUUUCAUGGACAUUGGUGAAAGCCUUUUUGAGUUAUUGUCCGAAGUGUUGAAAAUCCCCCCUUUUUUAUGAAUAAAGCCCCAUAAAUCCAAAAC
rnacentral:lncRNA from 1 species